UACAAUAACAGCAAUAAUAAAAAACAUAAAAAGAAUGUAAAUGUUUCAGUAUAUAAAGAAAAACAAAAUAACCAGAUGAUUAUACAUGAUACUCAAUACCAGUCGAAUGAGAAUAAUAUGAAAUUUAUUUUAGAUACAACUAACAUGUUGGAUGAAGAUGCUGACACGUUAACUAGAUCAUCUACUUUUGCCUAUCACUCAGACCAGGUAAUUAAUAACAUAAUGGGCUGUUACAAUAGUAAUAAUAGUAAUAAUAGUAAUAAUGGUAAUAAUAGUAAUAGUAGUAAUAAUAGUAAUAAUAAUAAUAAUAAUAAUAAUAAUAGUAAUAAUAGUAAUAAUAGUAAUAAUAGUAAUAAUAGUAACAAUAACAAUCAUAACGACAUGAUGGUAAUAACAAACGAUGAGAUAGUGAAUACCGUUAUACAUACGGAUAGAAAUAAAAAUGAACAGGAUGAAAGUUUAGUACGAGUAGAGCAAGAAAAUGAUCUGACACUUUGUAUAAAUAAAAAUUAUAAUCAUACAAAAGGAAAUAAAAAAAAUGAAAGUGAAAUAUGCUACAGUGAAAGUGAUGGUGUCAUAAAUGCUUUAUACACGAACAAUAUUGACAGAAAAGAAUGUUAUUUAAAAAAAACAAGAAUAGUAGUAGAAUCAGAUAAAAGUGAUAGGAAGUUAGAUGAUGUUAUAUAUUAUACUAAGGACAUGGAAAAAAAGCUUUUUAAAAAAAUUGAAAAAAAAAAUAAUGGUAUAAUUGACAAUGAUGAAUACAAUAGAGGUGCUUUUGUUAAUAGUGGUAGUAACAAUUUGGAUUGUAAUACUGUUUAUAGUUAUGAUAAAAAUAAUGUAACAAUACAGAACCUAUACGAUGAACACUUACCUUAUAAUUGUAAUGGUGUGGUAGGAAAUGUGUUAAGUGAGUUGGACACUAUACAUAAACCAAUAAGUUUAUCUAACUGUUUAUAUUAUAUAAAUAAUGAAUAUAUAAACGAUUCUAAAUUGAUAAAAACAAAAAAUCAAUUCAAUAAGAAUGAGAAAAAAAAAAUAAAUAAAAUGAGUAAUAAUGUUAACGAACAAAAUAAAAGUAGUAUUUAUGUGGAAAACGAAGGUAGUAAUAAUGAACAUAUUGGUAAAACAAACAGAUAUAAAAAAAAAAAAAAAAAAAAAUAACGAAACGAUAGCUAGCGAUGGUGUUGUAAGAAGUAACAGUGUAUGUAGCUCACUAACCGAUAUCAAUAGAAGACAUGUAAUAUCAUGUGAAGAACACAGUGCAAGUAGCAUCGUACAUAAAAAC
rnacentral:lncRNA from 1 species